CGAAAUGCGAUACUUGGUGUGAAUUGCAGAAUCCCGUGAACCAUCGAGUCUUUGAACGCAAGUUGCGCCCAAAGCUUCGGCUGAGGGCACGUCUGCCUGGGUGUCACGC
rnacentral:rRNA from 1 species